rnacentral:lncRNA from 1 species
UCAGCCGCUUCACGAAUGUGCUUCGCUCUUUUCAUAUUCUCUCAAUCCGACUUUUCCAAUGUUCUCUCUUCGCUUUUAUCUCAUCUCUACUUCAAAGAGUUAUUUAUCUGAUUCAUCAAUUUGGAUUUGACAUAGAACCCUAAGAGGUGAGGCGAAGAAGCCUUUUAAUUCUAUGCAUCUUCUUCGUUUCUUUUUUUCUUCUCGGUUGGAUGUUCUAAUUUCAGGUCUGUUGCUCUCAAUUUUUGCCUAAUUUUUCUUAGCCGUUUUUUUCUUCCGUUUUUUCCUUUUGGUGUUUUUGUUGGGUUCUGUUCAUACUUCUCACUGUUAUGUUAUCAUUUAUUUCUUUCUCUUUGCUUUAUUUCUGUUCCCUCACUUUUAAUUUUUCAUUGUUGGAACAUUCUUUUUUGCUUUAUUUAUUGGGCAAUAAAAUCUUGGGUGUUGUUAAUUAAUACUGAAUAUUUUUAAUACUAAAUAUUUUUACUUUUGUUGUUUGGCAGGCUACUUUUAUUUAGGAUUCACUGCCAAACGCGCAUGAGUCAUUAUUGUUUCUGGGUUGUUGUACACCCAAAGGUCUCAUGAGACUGUAUUGAAGUUUGUUAUGAGGAAUUGAUGUGGUUCUUAAGCUUGAGCAGUUGAAUUUUCUCUCGAGAAAGCUUUUGAAAUUUGUCAAUGCAGACAACAAGACUUUGUAGGUAUUGCUUUAUGCUUUAAAGGCUUUGAAUUGAAAUUUCAUGCUCACUUAGGAGAGCCUCUCUAUAAUGAAUUAUAAUGAGAUAGUUAUCUUGAAUGGAGAUUAAGACCGGCUUAAUUAGAAUUGGUGAUUGUGUGAAACUUAUAACAACAACAACAACA